rnacentral:rRNA from 1 species
GACGAACGCUGGCGGCGUGCUUAACACAUGCAAGUCGAGCGGUAAGGCCCCUUCGGGGGUACACGAGCGGCGAACGGGUGAGUAACACGUGAGCAAUCUGCCCAUCACAUCGGGAUAACUCCGGGAAACCGAAGCUAAUACCGAAUACGACCACCUCCGGCAUCGGAUGGUGGUGGAAAGUUCCGGCGGUGAUGGAUGAGCUCGCGGCCUAUCAGCUUGUUGGUGGGGUAACGGCCCACCAAGGCUUCGACGGGUAGCCGGCCUGAGAGGGUGACCGGCCACACUGGGACCGAGACACCGCCCAGACUCCUACGGGAGGCAGCAGUGGGGAAUAUUGGACAAUGGGCGAAAGCCUGAUCCAGCAACGCCGCGUGAGGGAUGACGGCCUUCGGGUUGUAAACCUCUUUCAGCAGGGACGAAGCGCAAGUGACGGUACCUGCAGAAGAAGCACCGGCCAACUACGUG